AGUAACGCGUGAGAAUCUGCCUUGGGGUCGGGGACAACCACUGGAAACGGUGGCUAAUACCGGAUAAGCCUUUGGGUAAAAGAUUUAUUGCCCCAAGAGGAGCUCGCGUCUGAUUAGCUAGUUGGUGAGGUAAAAGCUCACCAAGGCAGCGAUCAGUAGCUGGUCUGAGAGGACGAUCAGCCACACUGGGACUGAGACACGGCCCAGACUCCUACGGGAGGCAGCGGUGGGGAAUUUUCCGCAAUGGGCGAAAGCCUGACGGAGCAAGACCGCGUGAGGGAGGAAGGCUCUUGGGUUGUAAACCUCUUUUCUCAGGGAAGAAGCUCUGACGGUACCUGAGGAAUCAGCCUCGGCUAACUCCGUGCCAGCAGCCGCGGUAAUACGGAGGAGGCAAGCGUUAUCCGGAAUUAUUGGGCGUAAAGCGUCCGCAGGUGGCGAUUCAAGUCUGCUGUCAAAGCACGGGGCUUAACUCCGUUAAGGCAGUGGAAACUGAAUAGCUAGAGUGCCGUAGGGGUAGAGGGAAUUCCCGGUGUAGCGGUGAAAUGCGUAGAGAUCGGGAAGAACAUCGGUGGCGAAAGCGCUCUACUGGACGGCAACUGACACUCAGGGACGAAAGCUAGGGGAGCGAAUGGGAUUAGAUACCCCAGUAGUCCUAGCUGUAAACGAUGGAUACUAGGUGUAGCUUGUAUCGACCCGAGCUGUGCCGAAGCUAACGCGUUAAGUAUCCCGCCUGGGGAGUACGCACGCAAGUGUGAAACUCAAAGGAAUUGACGGGGGUCCGCACAAGCGGUGGAGUAUGUGGUUUAAUUCGAUGCAACGCGAAGAUCCUUACCAGGGCUUUACAUGUCGGGAAUCUCGGUGAAAGCUGGGAGUGCCUUCGGGAGCCGGAUCACAGGUGGUGCAUGGCUGUCGUCAGCUCUUGUCGUGAGAUGUUGGGUUAAGUCCCGCAACGAGCGCAACCCUCGUCUUUAGUUGCCAGCAUUAAGUUGGGCACUCUAGAGAGACUGCCGGUGACAAACCGGAGGAAGGUGGGGAUGACGUCAAGUCAGCAUGCCCCUUUCGCUCUGGGCGACACACGUACUUCAAUGGUCGGGACAGAGGGCAGCGAACCUGCGAAGGCAAGCUAAUCCCAGCAAACUCG
rnacentral:rRNA from 1 species